UGGGUUGGCCAAAAAGUUCAUUCGGGUUUUUCAUAAGCUGUUACGGGAAAACCCAAACGAACAUUUUGGCCAACACA
rnacentral:miRNA from 1 species